CAGAUCCCUCCUGGGAUGGUCCAGAUAUGUCAGGACCUUUCCUUUACCUUAUAUGAGGAAGACUGAUGUGCUGAAAUGGGAAAGGACACAUGAGCUGACAUUGCUGAUUUUUGUACUCUGCUCAUGUUUUGGAUGAAAAAGGGGUAAGAAAAUUGUUGGAUGAAAAAGGGAUAAGAAAAUUAUAUUCAUGUAUAGAAGAGGGUUACUCCACUCUAGUUUGCCUCUGCUGCUGAUUCAUCUACUAUGCUUGUCACUGUGCUGUGCUGAAGACAGAAAAUACACUUAGAUUGCCUCAGAAUCAUCAGGAAAUUUAUUUCACAAAUUAAAGAACAGAUUUAUGUGGCAUUUUGUAGAUUUGGAUGUCACAUUGGAAAAAAGAUUCCACACAAGAUACCAAUAUGAAUUUUGGACUUUGGAAAACAAAUAAAGAGACAGAACAGCAAUGUAAACUAACCCUAAGGGACAUUAGAUAUUCAGCUCUCAUAAAAAUUCAGCCCUGUUGGACACCUAAUUUCCUUACACCUCUCAAGAUUCCUUUGGAAGAAGUUCUGGAUCUCUGAAAAAGUUUAUUUCUGGGAUACAUCUCUGUUUGGACUGAACUGUGAGACCGGAGCUGUUGGUUCCUGAAGAUGGGGGCUGAGCAAGGAUGGAGAAAACUUCCUC